GAGGGGACGGGGCUGACCCGGGAUCCGCCGGAGGGGACGGGGCUGACCCGGGAUCCGCCGGAGGGGACGGGGCUGACCCGCGAUCGCCGUGAGGGACCCACCGUGAGGGGGCAGGACUAGCCCACGAUCGCCGCGAGGGGACAGGACUGACCCACGAUCGCCGUGAGGGGACCCGGAGGACCCGGGCCAUGAUCGCCGCCUCCGGCCGCCGCCGCGCCCGGGGCGAGCCCCCGGUGCGCUCGGUGCCGCUGAGCAGCGUCCCCGCGGGCACGCUGACGCCGCUGAAGGAGCUCCUGCAGGCCCAGGCUCCUGUCCCGGCCGGGCAGGGCCCGCCGCCCGCGGGGCCGUGGCGGGGGGCGCGGGAUGUCCCACACGGCCGGGCCGGGCCCGCGGCAGAGCGGCCGCUGAAGCGCCGCGCCCCGGAGCCGCCCGGGCAGGAGACGCCGGCCAAGAUCUUCCAGCGGAUGAAGGAGCGGGCGGAGCGGCAGCGGGGCCGCGGGGGCGGCACCGACGGGAUCCUGACCCGCGGCACCGGGCAGGGCCGCACCGGCCCCGACGGGAUCUUCCUGACCCCCAGCACUGGGCAGGGCCGCGCCAGGCACAGCCGUGCCACCGAAGGGAUCCUCCUGACCCCCAGCACCGGGCAGAGCCAGGGCACCGACGGGAUCCUGGCCCCCAGCACCGGGCAGAGCCGCGGCACCAUCGACGUAAUCCUGACCCCCAGCACCGGGCAGAACCAGGGCACUGACGGGAUCCUGAGCCCCAGCACCGGGCAGGGCCAGGGCACCAACACCAACAGGAUCCUGACCCGCAGCACCGGGCACAGCCGUGCCACCGACGGGAUCCUGACCCCCAGCACCGGACAGAGCCAGGGCACCAACACCGACAGGAUCCUGACCCGCGGCACCGGGCAAAACCAGGGCACCGACAGGAUCCUGACACGCAGCACCGGGCACAGCCGUGCCACCGACAGGAUCCUGACCUCCAGCACCGGGCAGGGCCGGGGCACCAUCGACGUAAUCCUGACCCCCGGCACCGGGCAGAGCCAGGGCACCGACGGGACCCUGACCCGCAGCACCGGGCACAGCCGUGCCACCGACGUGAUCCUGACCCCCGGCACCGGGCAGGGCCGGGGCACUGCCCGGCCAGGACAUGGGUCAGUGUUCCCACGGGUCCCUCGGGCCCCGCCCACUGCAGAGCCCCCUGUGCUGGAGACCCCCCAGAAGUUCUUCCUGCGCAUAAAGGAGAAACUGCAGCAGCAGCAGCAGCACAAAGAUCCAACACCUUCAAACCCCAUCCAGCAGAACGUUCCUCCUUCCACAGCCAUGGAGAAGCCUUUAGUCAGAGCUGCCUGUGCUGAGCAGCCCAGGGCUGAGCCUCCUGAGGAAGUGGACACCAAUAAGGAGGAUGAUGUGGACAUUUUCCUGGUGGAACCAAUAGAUGCCGAUGGUGAAAUGUCUCAGAGUGCAGGGACUAGUUUUCUGAAUGUAAAUUCCACCCCUUCGAAAAACGAGGAUCAGGUAACAGAAAAGCGGGGAAAUGGAGGAGCAAAACAUACAGAGCUUCAUCAAGACAGAAGAGAGUUGCAGCCCAGUAAAAAACAAGCUGCUCUGGGAGUGGAAGAGACCGUGGAGAGUAAUUCCCCAAAGCCCUCCCAGUGCUUCUGCAGCAUUAUGCUGUCUAGUCCCACAGUCCACAUUCCAAAGAAGCAGAAGCUGACAGAAAGGCCUGAGGACCCUUUGGACAAACGUCAUACCGACCAACCUGCUGGCAAAGCAGACAAAGAGAAAAGCAUCUGCCUGAGCAGCUGGAGGAUUAAAGUGAUGGAAGGCAACACGGCGAUUUCUCUGGAGGGCAAACGGCAGGACAUGAAGGGCCUGCUGUGGCACAGCAAUGCCAUCACCGAGCGCGUGGCACACAACCAGCUGAGGACGUCCUCGGGCAGCCUCUACCUCCUGCAGGGCAAGAUCGACUCUGCCACCAUGAGGAGAGAGGGGUUUCCCUACCGCUUCAUCAAACGAUUCACCUUCGGCUUUUCCAGGAGGUGGAAGGAGUAUGUCCAGGAGUUCCUCGAGGAAAGGAGGAGGAAAGACCGAAAACAGAACAGUGGUGUGGAUGAAGAGAGUGACACUGUGGUGGAAGGUGAUGUGUUGGAAACUGCAGAAGGCUCAAAGAAGAAACCUGGAAUGAGGAACACCACCUAUGAAGUAUUGCCAAGGAAUGAUGAAAACACCUACACCACCCCAAGGCACAGCUCCCAGGGGAAGGACUCGAGCAGGGUUUGCACUCGCAGCGGGAGACAGGUCAGACCCCCCAUGAACUUCUGGUGUGGGCAACGAGCCUUUGUGGAUCAGAACCUUAAUGUCACCCUGGAAGAGGGUGGAGUGGAUUAUCUCAGCCUGAUGCUUAGUAGUGAAAAAUCCCACAAAAAGACCAGUUUCAUCUCUAAGAAGAACAAACCAAAGGAAGUCAUGAAGACAACAGAGGAAUUGCCAAAAAGCCAAAAUAAAGGGAAGAGCAGGGAGAGAGGAGCCAGCUCCAAACGGGAAUCCGAGCCUGCUGGAAGCAGGGAGAGAGGAGCCAGCUCCAAAGGGGAAUCCAAGCCUGCUGGAAGCAGGGAGAAGGGAGCCAGUUCCAAACGGGAAUCCGAGCCUGCUGGAAGCAGGGAGAGAGGAGCCAGCUCCAAAUGGGAAUCCGAGCCUGCUGGAAGCAGGGAGAGAGGAGCCAGCUCCAAACGGGAAUCCGAGCCUGCUGGAAGCAGGGAGAAAGGAGCCAGCUCCAAACGGGAAUCCAAGCCUGCUGGAAGCAGGGAGAAAGGAGCCAGCUCCAAACGGGAAUCCAAGCCUGCUGGAAGCAGGGAGAGAGGAGCCAGCUCCAAACGGGAAUCCGAGCCUGCUGGAAGCAGGGAGAGAGGAGCCAGCUCCAAACGGGAAUCCAAGCCUGCUGGAAGCAGGGAGGCCCGGCGGUUCCUGUCGGAGGAGGAGGAGAGUGACUCUGCAACCAGGGGCACAAAAACCAAAUCCCAGCCUCCUGCCAGGGUGCCUUCCUCAAACAGCAAAGUGCCAAACAGACGCAGCCCCAGAAUCCUGGGAAUGGCAAAGGAGAAGCGAGGAGCAGACGCUGCAGAGCUGCCCGGGUACGAGCAGGCUUCCAAGUACUCCCUGAGGUCAGCCAGGAAGCCUUUCCCAGCCAAGCACUUCACCGAGGAAUCCUCAGGCAAGGAUGAGGGAGAGGGAUCCAGUGAUGAUGAUACCCCACUGCUGAUCAGAAGGAAAAAUAAAUCUGUGUCAAAACCGGGGCCUCAGAACUGCAGAUCUCGCUCUGACUCUGACAGAUCCCAGGAUGGUGCAAACAAGGCGUGGGGUGAGCCAAGGACAGGAAAAGCCUCCCGGAAUGUGCCAGUGAGGCUCAGUGGGACCAGUGACGAGUCUGAGCUCACCACCGAAGGAAACACUCCUGCCAGUGGGUCCAGAGACUCCCUCCUGCCUGGGGAGGCCGUGAGGACACGGAGCAGAACCAACCCCCCCAGGUGCUGGCUGGAUUUUGACAGCGAGCCCGAAACCAGCAAGGAGGAACUUCCCACGAAAGACAGGAAUGCAAAAGUACCUGGUAAAAAACCAGAGGCUGGAGCUCCCAGCACUGCCAAGUCUGCAGCAGCCAGAUCGAGAGAGCCUGAGAGGGCAAAGCAGCAGAAACCUCUGGAGCUUUUUCCCAGAGCAGCUGAUGGUUGGUCUGAGAAGGAAUUACAGAAGCUUUACAGGGCCAUCGCGGCGCUGCCCAAGCACCGCAGCGGCUUCUGGCAGGAGGUGGCCAUGGCCGUGGGGACACGCUCUGCCGAGGAGUGUCACAGCAAGUACCUGCACGAGCAAGAGGCCAAGGGCUCCAAACCACAGGCCAAGAAGGCCAAGGCAGGAAAACCUGAGCAGAAAGAUAAGAAGGAGCUGGUGAUAAGUGCCAGGGUGGGAACCCUCAAACGGAAGCAGCAGAUCAGGGAGUUCCUGGAGCACCUGCCCAAGGACAACCACGACGACGUGUUCACCACGACACCCUUCCAGAACAGGAGAGUCAAGCUGCCGCCGCUCCGGAACGACGACCCCGAGGACUUUUCCCUGGGGGAGCUCUCGCUCAGCCCCAGCUCAGCCGUGUUCCCGCUGGCCAAAACCCCCCAGUGCGAGCACAUCAGCCCGGGAAUGCUGGCCCCCGUCAACAGGAAGGAGCUGGACAGACACGUGUUCCGGAUGCAGAAGCACACGCAGGGCAGCAGGGGCACCUGGGACAAGGUCCAGAAGAAGUCGGUAAUGCUGCUUCCCUCCAGUACUGCCCCCUGCCACCUCAGCCAGGGGCCUGCAGGAGACACAUCCCUGGGAUGGAGAGCAGGAACCCUCCCCAGCUUCCUCCCAAACCCCGGGGUUUGGUCUCUACUGCUGUGGAGAAAAGUCCCUUUUGUUAGAAAGGAGCUGCUUGUUGUCAGGAUUAAAGCCACAGCCUCGGGUCGGGAUUUGUAACUGCUUUGGAAUUCUGUGGUCUUUAGGUAACAUUGUUCUGAACAGUGGGAAAAGAGUAGCCAUGGAAUAUCCAGAGCUGGAAGGGACCCUCAGGGAUCACGGAGCCUGACUCCUAAUCAUGACCAUAGCAAUGGUCACCUUGUAUCCUACUCCCUGAAUUUAGGUAUUGAUUCCUCCACUAGCCCAGCUUUUGCAGCUCAGGCUUUUCCAUGAAAAGCUAUGAUCCCAGGAGCAGAAAUGUGGCUUGUGCCCCUGGUUCAGAGGGAGCAGUUGUGGCAGCUGAGCAGUUCAAAUUUUGGGAAGAUGUAGCACAGGGCUGGUGUGGCUCCAUCCCAGCGGGACCCCGAGCUGAGCCCGUGUCCUUCCCUCCUUCCCCAGGCUGGAGCCAUGCUGGGGACACCUUCCCGCAGAGCCAAGGUCAGCUUGGAGACCAACGUGGCAAAGGACUCAGUGGUGGGGAAGCUCUUCAGGGCUCAG